GACGUAGGGCGCGAGCGUUGUCCGGAUUUAUUGGGCGUAAAGAGUUCGUAGGCGGCUUGUCGCGUCGUCCGUGAAAACCUGCAGCUCAACUGCAGGCUUGCGGUCGAUACGGGCAGGCUAGAGUUCGGUAGGGGAGACUGGAAUUCCUGGUGUAGCGGUGAAAUGCGCAGAUAUCAGGAGGAACACCGGUGGUGAAGACGGGUGACUGGGCUAGUUCUGACACUGGAGGCA
rnacentral:rRNA from 1 species